UACGAAGGGGGCUAGCGUUGUUCGGAAUUACUGGGCGUAAAGGGCGCGUAGGCGGCGUGUCAAGUCAGGCGUGAAAGCCCCGGGCUCAACCUGGGAACCGCGCUUGAGACUGGCAUGCUCGAGUUCGGGAGAGGAUGGUGGAAUUCCCAGUGUAGAGGUGAAAUUCGUAGAUAUUGGGAAGAACACCGAUGGCGAAGGCAGCCAUCUGGACCGACACCGACGCUGAGGCGCGAAAGCGUGGGGAGCAAACGGG
rnacentral:rRNA from 1 species